CUGGGUAUACUCCUUUUGAGAUUUUGUUUGGCAGACCUCCCCCGUUAAUUCCCCAAAUCAAGGACCUUAUUAUGGCAGAAUUAACUAAUGAAUCCAUGUUAAAAUAUGUAUAGGUGCUUCAAUAGGUCCAGAAAAAGGUCCACUGCACCCUGUGGAAGGUCUUACCACUCCCCAGCUGGAAGCCAGCCCACUCAUUCCAGCCUGGAGAUUUGGUGUUGGCAAAGAGCUUUACCAAUGAAGGACUAAAGCCACAUUGGAAGGGGUUGCAUCUCAUUGUCCUUACAAUACCCUCUGCUGGGAUCCCCACCUGGAUUCAUCACACCCGAGUGAAGGCCUCUCCAGAAUGGUGGACUCUGGAGCCAGGACCUGAGCAACUUAAGAUUACUGAAGAUGGUAAAACAACAAGUUCUUCCUCUCUUCAUCCUAAUAUUAUAAUAUUCUAGUGGAAUGACUUACUAAUUUUGAAUAGUUCAAUGAACUAUUUUCCUUUUAAAACUACAGCAGAAAUGACAUCACUUGUAGUGAGCCUGUGAGUAUAUUUGUAUUUAUUAAUCAAGGAAGAAUACAUUUGUUCAGUUGUAAAUAACAAGCUCUUAGUCAAAUGAUUAUCUGUAUAAAUUUCCCUACUCAGACACAACAAAUAGAUAUCAUACUUCUGUUGUGAGCAAUCUGUGGUCACUAUGUUUUAGAUACUGGUAUUUUAUCACAAAAGAAAAAAUCUGUAAACCCAAAGAAAAUUAAAAGUCAAGAAAGUAAUGUUUUAAGUGUGAGGCAAUUCCUCUAUGAUAAUUCCUCUAGAAAUAAGCAUUUCUGAAAAAUCAAAUGUUAUCUCUUGGGAGCCACAUUAAAUAUCACCACAAUUAUAUAACAAACACAAAAGAAAGAACUAAGAAUAUAAGCAGACUAGUAUAACC
rnacentral:lncRNA from 1 species